AUGAGGCAGGUGAUAAGAGCGACUGUGUUCCUGAUCCUGGGCACUUUAAGCCUUGCRAAGACCACCCAGCGCAUCUCCAUGGACGCCUACGAAGGACAGGAAGUGAACAUAUCCUGUAACCACACCAACAUUGCCACAAAUGAGUACAUCUUCUGGUACCGACAGGUCCCCCACCAGGGACCACACUUUGUCAUUCAAGGAUAUAAGACGAACGUGGCAAAUGAAGUGGCAUCUCURUUUAUCCCUGUUGACAGAAAGUCCAGCACCCUGAGCCUGCACCGGGUUACCCUGAGAGACAKCGCUGUGUACUACUGCACUGUGGGUGGCACA